AUAUGUGCUUUCCUGAUGGAGAGAUGCUUCCAAGGUGCCGCCCACCCUUUGAGGGUCUCCAGGGUUGUGAUGGGCAGCUCCUAUGAUGAACACACUAUGCUCAAGGCUGACCCGGUGGUGUUUCUUAACACUCUCACCUGCUUUAAGGAUCAAUUAAAGUGGCAGAGAAAGUUCAUUGAGGAAAUUUGAGAACUCUGUGCCAUUUGCAGCAAGAAAAACAAUUUGAAGCAAGAAGUUUAAGGUCCACAGCUCAGAGCAACCCAACUCCAGGUCUCUGAGCCCCACCCCCACCCCCAGCGCUAGCAGGAAGUGGAAUUUGAUGUGCAGCCAGCCUAUGAUGUCCUUAUGAAAUGAGAAACUACAAGAACUUUGACUCCAAUAGCUACAACAAAAUCUAUACCCAACUCAUCCAUGAGUGCAUCACGCUAAAGAAGAAGGAUGAAUUCUUGAUCUGCUUCACAGACAUCCAUCAAAACUUCCUGAGGUAUCGUGCACCCAGGCUAUGGACUCUCCUCUGUCUGGUCAAGCACUGGUAUCAACUGUGUAAGGAGAAGCUGAGGGAGCCACUGUCCCCACAGUAUCCCCUGGAGCUGCUCACAGUCUAUGCCUGGGAAUGCAGGCUCCAAGACAGCUCUGGACUACAUACAGCCCAGUGCUUCUGAACUGUCUUAGAACUGAUCACUAACUAUCCAUGUCUUUGAAUCUACUGGACAUGGUGUUAUGAUUUUAAACAUGAGAUCUCUGACUACUUGCGCAGAGAGAUCCAAAACGACAGGCCUCUGAUCCUGGAUCCAGCAGACUCAACAAGGAAUGUGGCUGGGUCAGACUUACAGGCCUGGCACCUUCUGGCAAGAAAGGCUCUGAUCUGGAUGCGUUCGAGACUUUCUUUAUGAACUGUGAUGUGUCCUUUGUGAAUGGCUGGGAAGUGCCACCAGAGAGAAAAGAAUGUGUCUUCCAGUGA
rnacentral:lncRNA from 1 species